rnacentral:rRNA from 1 species
AGUGAACGCUGGCGGCGUGCUUAACACAUGCAAGUCGAACGAGAACGGAUUAUAGCUUGCUAUAAUUGUCAGCUAAGUGGCGCACGGGUGAGUAAUGUAUAGGUAAUAUGCCUCUUACUAAGGGAUAACAAAUGGAAACGUUUGCUAAUACCUUAUACUCCUUAUUAACAGAAGUUAAUAAGGGAAAGAUUUAUUGGUAAGAGAUUAGCCUGUAUUGUAUCAGUUAGUUGGUGGGGUAAUGGCUUACCAAGACUAUGACACAUAACUGGUUUGAGAGGAUGAUCAGUCACACUGGAACUGAGACACGGUCCAGACUCCUACGGGAGGCAGCAGAGGGGAAUAUUGCACAAUGGACGAAAGUCUGAUGCAGCAACGCCGCGUGGAGGAUGACACAUUGCGGUGCGUAAACUCCUUUUAUAUGAGAAGAUAAUGACGGUACUAUAUGAAUAAGCACCGGCUAACUCCGUGCCAGCCGCCGCGGUAA